rnacentral:rRNA from 1 species
AGAGUUUGAUCCUGGCUCAGGACGAACGCUGGCGGCGUGCCUAACACAUGCAAGUCGAGCGGAGACAGUGAGUAGCUUGCUAUGAGCUGUUUAGCGGCGGACGGGUGAGUAACGCGUGAGCAACCUUUCCCAGACAGGGGAAUAACACACCGAAAGGUGUACUAAUACCGCAUAAGACCACGGGAUCACAUGGUUUCUGGGGUUAAAAGAUUUUAUCGGUUUGGGGUGGGCUCGCGUCCGAUUAGGUAGUUGGUGAGGUAACGG